rnacentral:piRNA from 1 species
UGGAUGCUCACAGUCAGCU